rnacentral:sRNA from 1 species
GUAAAGAACAAGUGGCACGUUCCAGUGAUUAUCUCGAUGGGCAAUUGACCUUUCGCGAGCGCCUGAUGGUGCGUCAUCACUUGAUGUUCUGCGCGAACUGCCGCCGGUUUAUCCGCCAGAUGCGCCUGAUGCAAGCCACCUUGAAGAUGAUGCCCGACGCGCCGGUCAAGAAUGUGGAUGCCUUGGCGCAGCGGCUCGCUGACGAGCGGCGCAAGGAUCGCAAAGACGGGAAAUAAACAGGCUCGCGUGGGUGAGCC